rfam:Bombyx mori DNA, contig: Bm_scaf6_contig5402, strain: p50T/Dazao, build 2, whole genome shotgun sequence.
UUAACUCAAAUUUGUAUGGAGUUGAAACGUUUGCCUACGUUUACCACUAGGGGCGCUGUUCCAAAAGCAUACAAAUUUCAGUUA